rnacentral:rRNA from 1 species
UACGGGGGGGGGGCAAGCGUUUGUUCGGAAUUACUGGGCGUAAAGGGCUCGUAGGCGGCCAACUAAGUCGGAUGUGAAAUCCCCAGGCUUAACCUGGGAACUGCAUCCGAUACUGGAUGGCUUGAAUCCGGGAGAGGGAUGCGGAAUUCCAGGUGUAGCGGUGAAAUGCGUAGAUAUCUGGAGGAACACCGGUGGCGAAGGCGGCAUCCUGGACCAAUAUUGACGCUGAGGAGCGAAAGCCAGGGGAGCAAACGGG